CAGCCGCCGCGGGAAUACGUAGGUGGCAAGUGUUAUCUGGAAUGAUUGGGCGUAAAGCGUCUGUAGGUGGCUUUUCAAGUCCGCCGUCAAUUCCCCGGGCUCAACCCUUGACAGGCAGUGGAAACUACCAAGCUGGAGUACGGUAGGGGCAGAGGGAAUUUCCGGUGGAGCGGUGAAAUGCAUUGAGAUCGGAAAGAACACCAACGACGAAAGCACUCUGCUGGGCCGACACUGACACUGAGAGAUGAAAGCUAGGGGAGCAAAUGGGAUUAGAUACCCCCGUAGUCCCUGUCUCUUAUAC
rnacentral:rRNA from 1 species